rnacentral:rRNA from 1 species
UACGUAUGGUGCAAGCGUUAUCCGGAUUUACUGGGUGUAAAGGGAGCGUAGACGGAGUGGCAAGUCUGAUGUGAAAACCCGGGGCUCAACCCCGGGACUGCAUUGGAAACUGUAAAUCUGGAGUACCGGAGAGGUAAGCGGAAUUCCUAGUGUAGCGGUGAAAUGCGUAGAUAUUAGGAGGAACACCAGUGGCGAAGGCGGCUUACUGGACGGUAACUGACGUUGAGGCUCGAAAGCGUGGGGAGCAAACAGG